rnacentral:lncRNA from 1 species
AACCCUAAUCCAAGACCUCCUUGAUGAUUAACAAUCAUAUACACAAAUAUUCAUAACUUUAUGGAAGGUGUAGAAGAAUACUUAUAUCGCUAAAUCUAAAAUUUCAAUAGAGCUUCUACUAGGCACCCAUGUAUUCACCCUCCAAUGGUGAUCCACAUAGAAAUUGGCUCAAAGAUCACUCCUUCUGAACCUGAUCAUUAUACCAAAAUUAACCCUGAC